CGGUUUUGCCAAAUGAACAGGCAGGGCAGUUCCUACAGAGCGCGCUCAAAAUCAAAACUUCCUUCUUUGGCCCCACCGAUGUGCACACCGCUUUCAGUAUGGUGAGGACCACCCCCAGAGACUCUACAGCUACGAAUUUCUGCACUCCAUUACCCAGCAGGCAGUGCAUGUGGAGCGCUCUAUAAGGAAAGGCGGGGACCCGCUCACAGCUGAGGGUCAGUCUCUUUCUCCCUCAGCUGAGACCACUCUGGAGCAGCUGGCCCUGGUCACAGGCAUUAGGACACCAAGCCACAGUGACAGGCUCCUGGAUUUCAAACAGAAGCUGAUGGAACAGAGAGAGGCAGUUAACGCCAAACCAGACAACACACGCACAGAAACAGUGAACGAAGAAGAAGCAGAGGGGACAUCUAAAGGAGAGGAGGCUGUGGCAGUCCAGGAGAUCACCAGCGAGGUGCUCUCAGUAGAGGCAGGUCACAAUGAGAACCCAGCCAACAGACAGUGGACUGCCAUCAACUGGAGCCCAUUGAGGAGAACGUAGAGGUGGGCUCAGUAGUAGAGAGUGGAGCUUUUGGAUAAUCCAGUGAGGGAGAUGAAGACCGAGCUGCCCCAGAGGCUGAGCAGCACACAGGGGACAGAGGAUGGAGAGGCAGAAUUGAUGGUUACUGAGGAAACUGAGCCAGUAUAGAGGAGAGUCUGACACAAAAUGGAGGUUUGGAAUCUGACGGAAACAAAUCAGACAGUGAGAUGGAGAUAGUCAAUGAUAAGCCCGGGUCAGAUGUGAACAGAUCACCAGUGAUGACCAAUCAGAACAACAAGAGGGCGUUAUGAACGGGAAUGCCUCUAUCCAUCGUCCAAGCAAAACUAACCCUGACCACAGCAGAGGGUGAGAUGCUAGCUAACGGAACAUCUGUCAGAGGGAGGUUUUUUUUUUAAAGGGAUUAACAGAACAAAUAACCAAAGAGAAGCCAUAGGACAGACAAGGCAGUAGCAUAUUAAAGGGGAUGUUGAUUCAGCUGGAUCAGAAUCCUGAGAGCAGAUGGCUGUGGAGGAUGAAAGGGGAAAACGAGGAGAAAGAAUAUAGAAGUGUACCGUUCUCUUUUAUCUGGGUGGUUUACUGAUAUUGGGAAAGGGCUAAACUUAUUUGGUCUUUAUCACCAACGUUUUGGCAUCACUGUGCCAUCAGGGUUUAUGAAACAUGUAACUUCAUUGACUCUUAAAUAAACCAUUUCAAAAAAA